UACGUGAGCCCCAAGCGUUACCCGGAAUCACUGGGCGUAAAGGGUGUGUAGGCGGUUAUGUUAGUCUCUUGUGAAAGCCUCGGGCUCAACCCGAGAUCCGCGAGAGAAACGGCAUAACUAGAGGAUGCGAGGGGUUAAGGGAACUCAUGGUGUAGGGGUGAAAUCCGUUGAUAUCAUGGGGAACACCGAAAGCGAAGGCACUUAACUGGCGCAUUCCUGACGCUCAAACACGAAAGCGUAGGUAGCGAAUGGG
rnacentral:misc_RNA from 1 species